rnacentral:rRNA from 1 species
UCUGGUUGAUCCUGCCAGAGGUUACUGCUAUCGAGGUUCGACUAAGCCAUGCGAGUCGAAUGUAGCAAUACAUGGCGUACUGCUCAGUAACACGUGGACAACCUGCCCUUAGGUUGGGUAUAAACCCGGGAAACUGGGUAUAAUCCCCUAUAAGUCUCGGCUGCUGGAAUGCACCGAGAUUAAAAGCUCCGGCGCCUAAGGAUGGGUCUGCGGCCUAUCAGGGUUGUAGUGGGUGUAACGUACCUACUAGCCUACGACGGGUACGGGUUGUGAGAGCAAGAGCCCGGAGAUGGAUUCUGAGACACGAAUCCAGGCCCUACGGGGUGCAGCAGGCGCGAAAACUUUACAAUGCGGGAAACCGUGAUAAGGGGAUCUCGAGUGCCAGCAUAUAAUGUUGGCUGUCCAGAUGCCUAAAAAGCAUCUGUUAGCAAGGGCCGGGCAAGACCGGUGCCAGCCGCCGCGGUAACACCGGCGGCCCGAGUGGUAACCGCUAUUAUUGGGUCUAAAGGGUCUGUAGCCGGCCGGAUAAGUCUCUUGAGAAAUCUGGCAGCUUAACUGUCAGGCUUUCAGGAGAUACUGUCUGGCUCGAGGCCGGGAGAGGUGAGAGGUACUUCAGGGGUAGGGGUGAAAUCUUGUAAUCCUUGAAGGACCACCAGUGGCGAAGGCGUCUCACCAGAACGGACCUGACGGCAAGGGACGAAAGCUAGGGGCACGAACCGGAUUAGAUACCCGGGUAGUCCUAGCCGUAAACGAUACUCGCUAGGUGUCGGCCACGGUGCGACCGUUGUCGGUGCCGUAGGGAAGCCGUGAAGCGAGCCACCUGGGAAGUACGGCCGCAAGGCUGAAACUUAAAGGAAUUGGCGGGGGAGCACCACAACGGGUGGAGCUUGCGGUUUAAUUGGAUUCAACGCCGGAAAUCUUACCGGGACCGACAGCAAUAUGAAGGCCAGGCUGAAGACUUUGCCGGAUUAGAUGAGAGGUGGUGCAUGGCCGUCGUCAGUUCGUACUGUGAAGCAUCCUGUUAAGUCAGGCAACGAGCGAGACA